UCCCGGUUGGUGUAGCAGGCAGCACCGCGGAUUUUGGAUCCGCUGGCCCAGGUUCGACUCCUGGACCGGGAG
rnacentral:tRNA from 1 species